AAGGGGCGGACCUGGAGCAAAUCUCAAAAAUAAACGUCUCAGUUCGGACUGUAGUCUGCAACCCGACUACACGAAGCUGGAAUCGCUAGUAAUCGCGAAUCAGAAUGUCGCGGUGAAUACGUUCCCGGGCCUUGUACACACCGCCCGUCACACCAUGAGAGUUGGCAAUACCCAACGUACGUGAUCUAACCCGCAAGGGAGGAAGCGUCCUAAGGUAGGGUCAGCGAUUGGGGUGAAGUCGUAACAAGGUACC
rnacentral:rRNA from 1 species